UACGUAGGGUGCGAGCGUUAAUCGGAAUUACUGGGCGUAAAGCGUGCGCUAGGCGGUUUGAUAAAGUCAGAUGUGAAAUCCCCGGGCUCAACCUGGGAACUGCGUUUGAAACUAUCAAGCUAGAGUAUGGGAGAGGGAGGUAGAAUUCCACGUGAUAGCAGUGAAAAUGCGUAGAGAGUGUGGAGGAAUACCAAUGGCGAAGGCAGCCUCCUGGCCUAAGUACUGACGGCUCAUGCACGAAAGCGUGGGGAGCAAACAGG
rnacentral:rRNA from 1 species